rnacentral:rRNA from 1 species
GACGAACGCUGGCGGCGUGCCUAAUACAUGCAAGUUGAGCGAUGAAGAUUGGUGCUUGCACCAAUUUGAAGAGCAGCGAACGGGUGAGUAACGCGUGGGGAAUCUGCCUUUGAGCGGGGGACAACAUUUGGAAACGAAUGCUAAUACCGCAUAAUAACUUUAGACAUAAGUUUUAAGUUUGAAAGAUGCAAUUGCAUCACUCAAAGAUGAUCCCGCGUUGUAUUAGCUAGUUGGUGAGGUAAAGGCUCACCAAGGCGAUGAUACAUAGCCGACCUGAGAGGGUGAUCGGCCACAUUGGGACUGAGACACGGCCCAAACUCCUACGGGAGGCAGCAGUAGGGAAUCUUCGGCAAUGGACGAAAGUCUGACCGAGCAACGCCGCGUGAGUGAAGAAGGUUUUCGGAUCGUAAAACUCUGUUGGUAGAGAAGAACGUUGGUGAGAGUGGAAAGCUCAUCAAGUGACGGUAACUACCCAGAAAGGGACGGCUAACUACGUG